AACGGCAGCACGGGAGCAAUCCUGGUGGCGAGUGGCGAACGGGUGAGUAAUAUAUCGGAACGUGCCCAGUCGUGGGGGAUAACGCAGCGAAAGCUGUGCUAAUACCGCAUACGAUCUACGGAUGAAAGCGGGGGAUCGCAAGACCUCGCGCGAUUGGAGCGGCCGAUAUCAGAUUAGCUAGUUGGUGGGGUAAAGGCCCACCAAGGCGACGAUCUGUAGCUGGUCUGAGAGGACGACCAGCCACACUGGAACUGAGACACGGUCCAGACUCCUACGGGAGGCAGCAGUGGGGAAUUUUGGACAAUGGGCGCAAGCCUGAUCCAGCAAUGCCGCGUGCAGGAUGAAGGCCUUCGGGUUGUAAACUGCUUUUGUACGGAACGAAACGGUCUCUUCUAAUAAAGGAGGCUAAUGACGGUACCGUAAGAAUAAGCACCGGCUAACUACGUG
rnacentral:rRNA from 1 species